GAGUUUGAUCCUGGCUCAGAAUGAACGCUGGCGGCGUGCUUAACACAUGCAAGUCGUGCGCGAAAGCGACUUCGGUCGCGUGUAGAGCGGCGAACGGGUGAGUAACACGUGGACAACCUGCCCAAGAGUUGGGGAUAACCUGGGGAAACUCGGGCUAAUACCGAAUACGUUCGUGAGGCUUCGGCCUUGCGCAGAAAGGUGGCCUAUGCUUGCAAGCCACCGCUCCUGGAGGGGUCCGCGUCUGAUUAGCUAGUUGGCGGGGUUAUGGCCCACCAAGGCGACGAUCAGUAGCCGGCCUGAGAGGGUGAUCGGCCACACUGGAACUGAGACACGGUCCAGACUCCUACGGGAGGCAGCAGUGGGGAAUAUUGGACAAUGGGGGAAACCCUGAUCCAGCAACGCCGCGUGGAGGAUGAAGGUCUUCGGAUUGUAAACUCCUGUUAGGGGGGACGAAGGGAUGUCGGCAAACAGUCGGCAAACUUGACGGUACCCCCAGAGGAAGCCCCGGCUAACUCUGUGCCAGCAGCCGCGGUAAUUCC
rnacentral:rRNA from 1 species